rnacentral:lncRNA from 1 species
GUUCAAUUACAAGAAGUAAUUGAACUUUAACAGAAGCAGGCUCGAUGGACACUUAAAACUUGCAGACUUUUGUGAAUCGCGGAAACUAUUAAGAUAUGAGAGAGUUUGUAAACAUGCUUCUUGAAACAGAUCAGACUAUGAGGGUCCGACAGGUUCUUCUUCUGAGUGAUGAAAUUGUCAAAGAGAUCAAUAGUAUGGCCGAAUAUAUUUCUUUCUUCUGGGCAUUGUUGCUUUUGACCUUUUGCAUUUUUAGAAGAAAAGUUUUAUAUUAUUUUUAA